AUUGCAAUCAAAACUAAUCUCUAUUAGGGAUUGAAAC
rnacentral:other from 1 species